AAUAAACGCUGGCGGCAGGCCUAACACAUGCAAGUCGAACGAAGUCUUCGGACUUAGUGGCGGACGGGUGAGUAACACGUGGGAACGUACCUUUUGGUUCGGAAUAACGCAGGGAAACUUGCGCUAAUACCGAAUGUGCUCUUCGGAGGAAAGAUUUAUCGCCAUUAGAGCGGCCCGCGUUGGAUUAGGUAGUUGGUGGGGUAAAGGCCCACCAAGCCUACGAUCCAUAGCUGGUCUGAGAGGAUGAUCAGCCACACUGGGACUGAGACACGGCCCAGAGUCCUACGGGAGGCAGCAGUGGGGAAUCUUGCGCAAUGGGCGGAAGCCUGACGCAGCCAUGCCGCGUGAAUGAUGAAGGUCUUAGGAUUGUAAAAUUCUUUUACCGGGGACGAUAAUGACGGUACCCGGAGAAAAAGCCCCGGCUAACUUCGUGCCAGCCGCCGCCGUAA
rnacentral:rRNA from 1 species